ensembl:snRNA U6 U6 spliceosomal RNA
CUGCUCCCUUCAGCAGCAGAUAUACUAAAAUUGGGAUGAUACAGAGAAGAUUGGCAUGGCCCCUGCGUAAGGAUGCCACGCACAUUCGUGAAGCAUUCCAUAAAAAC